GAGCUAAUCUGUAAAGUUGGUCUCAGUUCGGAUUGAGGGCUGCAAUUCGCCCUCAUGAAGUCGGAAUCACUAGUAAUCGCGAAUCAGCCAUGUACGCGGUGAAUACGUUCUCGGGUCUUGUACACACCGC
rnacentral:rRNA from 1 species